UGGUUUUCUGAGGUGAUGAUAUUUAUAGUUCGGCAUCAUCAAAAAGCAAUUCCUUGCUUAUUUAGGAUUCGAAGCCUUGUCAGGUCUCCCUUGUGACUCAUUCUGUAUUCAUCCGGGGCUCUGUGCUCGCCUGCCUGUGCAAUGCUCUCAUGAAUCCUUAAUUCCAUUUGAACUCAGCAAUGCCACAGUCACUUUCCAUCAACCCGCCCACUCAGCUGAAUUGUACCAGCCUCUUCUUUGCAGAGCACCACAUUCGCGCUCUAAGAUUGAUUGGGUGUUGGGCCACUGCCACAAAGACAAAGGAGGUCAAACUCAACACCUGCAGUUUGCUUCUGACUUCUAAAGCAGAUGCUGAUGAAAUUUUCCGGGAUUUACCUGCAUAACCCAUGUCUAGUUGCAGUGGCUUCAUGGACACUUUAUCACAGAUGAUGCAGUGAAAUAUUAAUAACGUGUUACUCUCCUCUUUUAUCAGCACGGCAAAACAGUUGAAGCUGAAAUGACACAGUGAGGAUAGACCAGACUGAUGUGAAGCUAACCUCGUAUCAAGCCAUCUUCCUCACUCCCCAGCUUUGCUCUUCUCUAAGCAUGACUGGCGUGCUGGCCAAAUGUUCAACACAGAGUGCUGCUUGAGGCUCUAGAAGCUGCAACUAAGGAAGAUAGGGUAGCUGCUCACUGGGGCCAGAAAUAUGGGAUGAGUCAGAGAGCAAGUUGGAAUCCAGUGCCAAUUCAUGACCAAGCCGGAGGACCAGCCUAUUCUAGGACACACAUAUGAAGAUUGAUGUUGAGAAAUGUAGAACUUUCCAGGAAAAUCAAGAAUGGUGUGGAGACAGGAAUCCAUGGUCUGUGAUAACGACAUGAUGAAUCAGGAAAAUGGCAGCAGCUUUUAUAUCUUCCUUUGCUUGAAACAGGUAUAAAGCCCCAGAAAUUAAUUGUAGGAGCUCAUCCUGAUUCACCCAAGAUCACCCAGAAGCUGCAAGAAAAUGUUCUGUCAAAAUCUCAAAGGCUGGAGAUUGAAAUGGAGAAGAACCAGGGAAGGAUUAUUGGAAUUUAAAAGAGAAAUCUUGAAGAUGAAAUAAUUUGUGGGAAUGUUCUUGGACACUAUAUACUGUUGACCGGUGACAAGUCCUUGCUUCCCCAAUGUUGAAGUAUAACACCAGAGAAGCACA